rnacentral:rRNA from 1 species
AGAUUGAACGCUGGCGGCAGGCCUAACACAUGCAAGUCGAGCGGCAGCACGGGUACUUGUACCUGGUGGCGAGCGGCGGACGGGUGAGUAAUGCCUAGGAAUCUGCCUGGUAGUGGGGGAUAACGCUCGGAAACGGACGCUAAUACCGCAUACGUCCUACGGGAGAAAGCAGGGGACCUUCGGGCCUUGCGCUAUCAGAUGAGCCUAGGUCGGAUUAGCUAGUUGGUGGGUAAUGGCUCACCAAGGCGACGAUCCGUAACUGGUCUGAGAGGAUGAUCAGUCACACUGGAACUGAGACACGGUCCAGACUCCUACGGGAGGCAGCAGUGGGGAAUAGUUGGACAAUGGGCGAAAGCCUGAUCCAGCCAUGCCGCGUGUGUGAAGAAGGUCUUCGGAUUGUAAAGCACGUUUAAGUUGGAGGAAGGCAGUUACCUAAUACGUAUCUGUUUUGACGUUACCGACAGAAUAAGCACCGGCUAACGUCCGCGCCAGCACG